GAUGAACGCUGGCGGCGUGCCUAAUACAUGCAAGUCGAGCGAAUGGAUUAAGAGCUUGCUCUUAUGAAGUUAGCGGCGGACGGGUGAGUAACACGUGGGUAACCUGCCCAUAAGACUGGGAUAACUCCGGGAAACCGGGGCUAAUACCGGAUAAUAUUUUGAACUGCAUGGUUCAAAAUUGAAAGGCGGCUUCGGCUGUCACUUAUGGAUGGACCCGGGUCGCAUUAGCUAGUUGGUGAGGUAACGGCUCACCAAGGCACCGAUGCGUAGCCGACCUGAGAGGGUGAUCGGCCACACUGGGACUGAGACACGGCCCAGACUCCUACGGGAGGCAGCAGUAGGGAAUCUUCCGCAAUGGACGAAAGUCUGACGGAGCAACGCCGCGUGAGUGAUGAAGGCUUUCGGGUCGUAAAACUCUGUUGCUAGGGAAGAACAAGUGCUAGUUGAAUAAGCUGGCACCUUGACGGUACCUAACCAGAAAGCCACGGCUAACUACGUGCCAGCCGCCGCGGUAA
rnacentral:rRNA from 1 species